AAUCGCCUUGAACAUAUUAGCAUGGAAUAAUAAUAUAGGAUCUUGGUUCUAUUUUGUUGGUUUCUAGAGCUAAGAUAAUGAUUAAUAGGGACAAUUGGGGGCAUUCGUAUUAACGCGUCAGAGGUGGAACUCUUGGAUUGCGUUACGACGAACUACUGCGAAAGCAUUUGCCAAGGAUGUUUUCAUUGAUCAAGAACGAAAGUGAGGGGAUCGAAGACGAUUAGAUACCGUCGUAGUCUUCACCAUAAACUAUGCCAACUAGAGAUGGGGUGUCGUUCUUUUCUGACUCACUCCGCACCUUAUGAGAAAUCAAAGUCUUUGGGUUCCGGGGGGAGUAUGGUCGCAAGGCUGAAACUUAAAGGAAUUGACGGAAGGGCACCACCAGGAGUGGAGCCUGCGGCUUAAUUUGACUCAACACGGGAAAACCCACCAGGUCCAGACAUAGUAAGGAUUGACAGAUUGAUAGCUCUUCCUUGAUUCUAUGGGUGGUGGUGCAUGGCCGUUCUUAGUUGGUGGAGUGAUUUGUCUGCUUAAUUGCGUUAACGAACGAGACCUUAACCUGCUAAAUAGAUCAUCCUAUCUUCGGAUAAGAUGCUUUCUUCUUAGAGGGACUUUGUGUUUUUCAGCGCAAGGGAGUUUGAGGCAAUAACAGGUCUGUGAUGCCCUUAGAUGUUCUGGGCUGCACGCGCGCUACACUGAUGCGUUCAACGAGUGUAUCACCUUGUCCGACAGGAUUGGGUAAUCUUUUGAACACGCAUCGUGAUGGGGAUAGAUUAUUGCAAUUAUUAAUCUUCAACGAGGAAUUCCUAGUAAUGAUGAGUCAUCAGUUCAUCGUGAUUACGUCCCUGCCCUUUGUACACACCGCCCGUCGCUCCUACCGAUUGAGCAAUCCGGUGAAUACUUCGGACCGGUUGCAUAAUUGGUUCGCCAAUUUUGUGACUGGAAAGUCGAGUGAACCUUAUUGCUUAGAGGAAGGAGAAGUCGUAACAAGGUUUCCGUAG
rnacentral:rRNA from 1 species